AAGCUCAAAUUUGAAAUCUAGUACCUUCGGUGCUCGAGUUGUAAUUUGUAGAGGGAUACUUUGGGGCCGUUCCUUGUCUAUGUUCCUUGGAACAGGACGUCAUAGAGGGUGAGAAUCCCGUGUGGCGAGGAGUGCGGUUCUAUGUAAAGUGCCUUCGAAGAGUCGAGUUGUUUGGGAAUGCAGCUCUAAGUGGGUGGUAAAUUCCAUCUAAAGCUAAAUAUUGGCGAGAGACCGAUAGCGAACAAGUACAGUGAUGGAAAGAUGAAAAGAACUUUGAAAAGAGAGUGAAAAAGUACGUGAAAUUGUUGAAAGGGAAGGGCAUUUGAUCAGACAUGGUGUUUUGCGCCCUCCGCUCCUUGUGGGUGGGGGACUCUCGCAGCUCACUGGGCCAACAUCAGUUUUGGUGGUCGGACAAAUCCGUAGGAAUGUAGCUUACCUCGGUAAGUGUUAUAGCCUGCGGGAAUACGGCCAGCCGGGACUGAGGACUGCGACUUUUGUCAAGGAUGUUGGCAUAAUG
rnacentral:rRNA from 1 species